AGAUACCGAGGUAGUCCACGCCGUACACGCUGAGUGCUAGGGGAGCAAACAGGAUUAGAUAACCUGGUAGUCCACGCCGUAAACGAUGAGUGCUAAGUGUUAGAGGGUUUCCGCCCUUUAGUGCUGAAGAUAACGCAUUAAGCACUCCGCCUGGGGAGUACGGCCGCAAGGCUGAAACUCAAACGAAUUGACGGGGGCCCGCACAACCGGUGGAGCAUGUGGUUUAAUACCAAGCAACGC
rnacentral:rRNA from 1 species